AUGUUAGUUAGAAACCAGAUUAAUAGAAGUGUAGGCCUGAUAUAUUAUGUUGUGAGGCAUAGUGGCUGGAAGGAACUUUAGCAAUAUAGCCCUGCCCCCUCAUUUUAGUACUGAGGAAUCUGAGACCUGGAGAGGUUAAGUGACUUUUUCGAGAUCACACAAGACAGCUUUCCACUCUGCCAAUUACCGUGCUUAUUUUGGGAAACCCUUAUAUACAAAAAGCCCUGUUUUAAGAAAAGGCAUCUUCAUGAUCCAGGGCAUAUGUGUUUUGUAAAAUGUCCCUGGCUUGAGUAGUUUGUUCAGGAUUCUGAAUUCCUAUCUUGCCUCUCCUGUAGUGCCUUUUGCAAGGUUUUCCCUUUCCUGAUCCUCAUUUCAACAUUGAGUCACAUGAAACAUCCCCCUGAGAAAUCAACCUCCCUUCUUCUCUUGCUAUGGGAUUGGCUGUAUCGGAUCAACUUACAGGGUUCCUCUAUGAGUCUAGGAAUGGCAUAUUUAACAGUAUUGUGUCAUUCCUAAUUAUUUUCCAAAGGAAUUAUUUUGUGUGUGUCGGGGGAGAGACAAGAGGGAGGGUGAUGUGAUUUUCAGCCAGUCUUGAGAUUUUCAGUAAUGAAGUGAUCAUCCUAAACAUUAGUCCUCAGUUAUAAGCGAAUCCCAAAUAGAAAUUAAAAGUGCAUAAUUUAAAAUUGAAUUAAAAGCGUGAAAAGUUAAUACUCAUUCAUACAACCCUUUAGUCAUAAGGAAAAAAACCCUUGAAUGGUAGAAGCAACGAGUAGCAAACUUCAGGACUGCUCUUUUCUAUCUAAGUAAAUAAGUAAAAAUGAGAAGAAACCUUUCAUCUACUCCUUUCAUGGUUAUAACACAUUGCCAGAAGUUUUGCUAGCUCUGGGAGCCAUGAUUUUAAUCACAUUCUAUAAGGUGACAGAUGUCAUACAUUCCACACUGUGUGGCAGCCAUCUCUUUAGACUCAUGUAUUUUCGGGAAAGAAGAAAGUUCUUGGCAAAGUAAUAUUUUGAACUUUCCACAACAUCUCUGCUCCCUCACACCAGAGGCAGUCCCUUUUGGCUCAGUUUUUAAUCCCAGAUAAUUUGCUAAAAUAGUAUCGUACAUCUAAGAGAUGGAAGAAGUCCAUGUCAGUGUAUUAUGUUUACGAAGAAGAUAAAUUCAGUCUUUUCAGAAAAUCUCUAAUAGGUGUCAUUUUACAAAUUCAGGUUUAUAGGAGAAAUCUCAAGUUAGCCACCUUUUCACUAUUGUGUGGAUGUAACAUUUGGGGGAUCUUUCUGGACUCCCACCUAUCUAUGCAUUUUACUGGCACCUCAGGACAGAAGGAUGACCUUGUUGUCUUAACUUGUACUGCCUGGUGGUCUCUGGGGACCUUCUAAGUCAGUUGUACCCCAAUGUCCCAUGUACAGAAAAACUCCAUUAGAACAAACUUUACUUGAUAUAAAAUUUCUAUUAACAAUUUUUUAUUAAAUAAAACUAGCUUGAGCUUUCUUUUAAAAUCAUGUAUCUUGAUUGUUGUUUUAAUGAAGGAUUUAUUUUCAAUGCUGCUUUUGAGCUUCGGGAUGACAGGAUAGCAGGAACCUGAAAUGACUGCCAUCAUCUGCUAUAGGAAACACCAAGAGACCCAUUGUGUUCUCUUUUUCUUGUUACACAGUUGGGUGGGUACAACAAUCGGAAAAUGAACAAACUGAUUGUGCAAACUACUUUUUAUGAAGAGCCUAAACACUCAUGAUGCGGCAGCUUAAAGUGUAUACAUAUGCACUAACUUUUAUAAAUUAUAUUCUCAUGUCUGUUAGCCAUGCAAUCUCCUGUUAUCUCAAUUGCUCAUUCACAUAUGGAAUGUGUUACUUAAAAUGUGUGCAUUCUUACUGAACAUGUUUUCAAAGGAAGGCAUCAGCUAUGGGCUAAUUGCCACCAAUUUCAGCCCGCCAUGAUCCUUGGAAAUAUAUCUUCCAAGUGCCAUCCAUCAUCAGUAGGACAAGUGUCGGGAGUUUGUUUAUUUUUUUCCAGUAGCAACGAUGGGUUACAUGGAGCCGUCAAACCUCCUUCUGGCCUCCUUUGUGAUUAAUGGCAUGUGUUGUAAAAUGGAUAGCUGGGGUUGGCAGUUGGCUAAAGAAGAAUCACCUUUGGUUUAAAAUGUAUGUGACCCCAUAAUGACUGAGACUCCAUUCUGUAAUCAACUGAGCUAGUUCCAAUAAAGUUAAGCAGGUUUGAAUCCACUUUGUGCCUAUCUUUUCACUGACAAUAAAGUUAGCUAUUUUAAAAUGUAGUACUGUGUGGAAAAUGCUUUGGUGUUUACCCAACAGAGGCUUUAUUUGUGCUGUAUCAGUGAUU
ensembl:lncRNA